CCUUGCGCUUUUGGAGCGGCCGAUGUCUGAUUAGCUAGUUGGUGAGGUAAGGCUUACCAAGGCUUCGAUCAGUAGCUGGUCUGAGAGGACGACCAGCCACACUGGGACUGAGACACGGCCCAGACUCCUACGGGAGGCAGCAGUGGGGAAUUUUGGACAAUGGGGGAAACCCUGAUCCAGCCAUGCCGCGUGAGUGAAGAAGGCCUUCGGGUUGUAAAGCUCUUUCAGCCGGAAAGAAACGGUUGCGGCUAAUACUUGUGACUAAUGACGGUACCGACAGAAGAAGCACCGGCUAACUACGUGCCAGCAGCCGCGGUAAUACGUAGGGUGCGAGCGUUAAUCGGAAUUACUGGGCGUAAAGGGUGCGCAGGCGGUUUUGUAAGUCAGAUGUGAAAUCCCCGGGCUUAACCUGGGAAGGGCGUUUGAAACUC
rnacentral:rRNA from 1 species